rnacentral:rRNA from 1 species
GAUGAACGCUAGCGGGAGGCCUAACACAUGCAAGCCGAGCGGUAGAGUUUCUUCGGAAACUUGAGAGCGGCGCACGGGUGCGUAACACGUGUGCAACCUACCUUUAUCUGGGGGAUAGCCUUUCGAAAGGAAGAUUAAUACCCCAUAAUAUAAUGAUUGGCAUCAAUUAUUAUUGAAAACUCCGGUGGAUAGAGAUGGGCACGCGCAAGAUUAGAUAGUUGGUGAGGUAACGGCUCACCAAGUCAAUGAUCUGUAGGGGUCCUGAGAGGGAGAUCCCCCAAACUGGUACUGAGACACGGACCAGACUCCUACGGGAGGCAGCAGUGAGGAAUAUUGGACAAUGGGUGAGAGCCUGAUCCAGCCAUCCCGCGUGAAGAAUGACGGUCCUAUGGAUUGUAAACUUCUUUUGUACAGGGAUAAACCUACCCUCGGGAGGGUAGCUGAAGGUACUGGACGAAUAAGCACCGGCUAACUCCGUG